AGAUGGAUCGAUAACGAGUACUGUAAGUUAAUGUUUAUAAUUAAAGUCAAAGGACUUGCGUGGAACAAAUUGAUGUGACAUUCAUAAGUUUUAAACAUGACUUAAUUCUUAACAUUUAAGAAAUCGCACGGCAAAUGUUCGUGUUUAAUUUAGUUUAUUUUUUAUUUUACUUUUUUAGGUAACCAGACAUCAACUUUACCGCGAAGACUGACUUUAUUCUGGCGGGGAAAAUUUAUAGUUCCUUCUCUCAUGCCCGGUGUGCACCCGGAUGCUUUUACCGUUGAUUAAGGAUAUCUACCAGUAGGCUAUUUGCGUCAAAUCGAACGGUGCUUCGUGCUGUGAAUGCGGCUCACUUUGUGAAUAUCGUACACAACUAUAGAAACACGCCAUCACGCAACUGCCACGAAAACAAGCACUAAAAUAACCGAAUUGUUGGGCCUAACGAACAUGAUGGUCCAGUGCACCACAAUGGGAGGGUUUUUUUUGCUAGUGCUUUCUAUUUCAUGAUGUUCUCGAACGUAUACCACAUAAACAAUUACAUCGUCAGGCAAGUACACUUUGGAGACCACGAUUCGAAACACACUCUAAUGCAAAUAUGUUUUAUGUAUUUUCAGGUUGCAGUAUAUGUCAUGUAUGGCUGGAUUCCUGUAGAAGUAAGAGGUCUAGCAAUCCGUGGCCAGACUAUCCAAGUAGAUGACAUUAAUCAAUUAAAACUAUGAAGCUGGAUAUGCUUUAAUAGACUCUCUUACAGAAGGCAAAACCUCGAAGGAGUAAUUAUCUAUUAGGUUUUACAGGUGAACAAAAUUAGCAACUCCCGAUCGAAUUGCACACAACAACCACCCACAAUCACAGCUGUAAAAGUAACACGGAUAGGUAGCAAGGAAAUCAAGCUUGUACACAGAAAUCUACACAAAAACUGGGUUUUAUAAGCGCACGAAAAGCGACGCGGCUAUCUUUGAAUAAAAAGUAAACAAAA